CUGAUUCAGUCUGCCAGUAUGAAGAACAGCCUCUGGGAUAAGAAUAUACUUGCAGCUGUCUUCCCAGUCAUAGAAAUUGAAGGGGGUGUGGAGAGGCUGAAUCAGUGCUCCAAAGGUGUUACUGAGCUCCCUAAGACAGAGAGAAGGUCAUUCUGAAACUCGGUACUUUCAUCAGUGCUAUCAGGUGCUGCCUGCUUUCGUGGCACCCAAACUCUAAUUUGCUGACUUUUUGUAUGGCUUGUCAGAACUUUUUAAAUUGUGUUCAUUAAUUUGAAUGUGCUUAUUGCUAAAGGAAGCUCCCUCAGUUGUUUUGUUUAGGGCACUUGGAAAACUAUAGUGUUGUACUAUUCUGUUCGGGGUCCCUCCCAGAAUUUGCUGGUGAGAAGUUCUCAGUUCUCCUUGUAUCUGAAUGUAGUGGAAAUGUUGAGUCAUGGCCUGAGGCGGUGAUUGAGCACCUGGUGGGAAGGCAGGGCCAACCCAGGGGAGCUCAGGUGUGUGCAAUGUAGCUGAGUGAACAGAAGGGCUGGAGCCAGGAUCCACCCCCUCCCAUACCUCAUUUAAGGGUUGGCAGUGGAGGUGAGGGCAUUUCUUGUUGGAGAUCCCUGCCUACCUGAGGCCUUCCAAAGUACGGAGCCAGUAUCCUUCCACGAUGUGGGAAGACAAUCUGCAGUUUUGUCUCAGGUGACCCUCGAGAGGAAAAGGCUGAUGUCUAUGACUUUCCCUUCCCUUCAAGAAAUGUUGAAAAAGUAAUUAAACGAAAGAAGAAGAAGACCCAAGUCUGGCUUAAAGUCUGGAAAGUAAUUUCAAAAAUGCUUGAAGAAAAUGAAAAGUUCAGACAUCGACUGUUGACUUGCAGUCAGUUCAAUGGAGAAAGCAAUGAUGCGAUCCAAGUACACAGAAGGAGGCACUCCCGCUGGACAGGGAGGAGUCCAUCUUUGGUUGGGUGUAGCAAGAAAAUAAAGGAAGAUUCAGGCCAAAAGGAAAUAUAAAACUAGUAAAAUUGUUUUCAUCUAUAUCUUACUAAAAUUAGUGGGAAGACUACAAAUGAUUCAGAUGAACAUUGUUUCUCUGUUUGUUUGGCACGUAUGUUUCUGCUGUUCAAUAGGUUUGUUUUUAGAGUGGCUUAAAUAGCUUGUUGCAAGAUAUUUGAAGUCAUUAAGUUUAAUAUUUCAUUUAGUUAUUCGUUUUUGAAAGCCUUUUAGUGAGCAUAGUAUUGUGACAGUUUGCUUGUAAAAGAAUAAAGAUGCACAUUUAGUGUUGAUGUCUA
ensembl:lncRNA